GACGAACGCUGGCGGCGUGCUUAACACAUGCAAGUCGAACGAAGUGGCGAACGGGUGAGUAACGCGUAAUCAACCUGCCCUUCAGCGGGGGACAACAGUUGGAAACGACUGCUAAUACCGCAUACUGAAGGAGGGGAUUGUGUCUGAUUCGCUAGUUGGAGGGGUAACGGCCCACCAAGGCGAUGAUCAGUAGCCGGGCUGAGAGGAUGAACGGCCACAUUGGGACUGAGACACGGGCCAGACUCCUACGGGAGGCAGGAGGGGGGAAUUUUCCGCAAUGGACGAAAGUCUGAAGGAGCAACGGCGCGGGAGUGAUGACGGCCUUCGGGUUGGAAAGCUCUGUUAAUCGGGACGCGGUACCGGAAUAGAAAGCAACGGCUAACUACGUGCCAGCCGCCGCGGUAAUAC
rnacentral:rRNA from 1 species